rnacentral:lncRNA from 1 species
AUUUAAAACAAUAAUUUAUUUUAAAUGAUUACAGUGAGACUAUUUUAGUAAUUUUACUAUCUUUAUUAAUCAUUAUCUUUCUUAUCCCACCUACUCCAACCAAUUAUUAUCUUUCUUUAUCAAUCAUUAUCUUCUUAUCCUACCUACUCCAACCAAUCAUUAUCCUUCUUUAUCAAUCAUUAUCUUCUUAUCCCACAUACUCCAACCAAACACUAUUUUUCAUUAUUCUAGACUAACUCCAACCCCCAACCAAACACAAAAAAAUUUUAACCCCACUUUAACCCUGAACUUAACCCUAUUCCUGUAAUAACUACUUUUUUCUUAACCCCGAACCAAACGGAGGCAUAGGGAAUAAAGAAUUGAAUUCAAAAAAAGCUUAUUGUUCUUUUUUUUAGUUAAAAAAAGAAAAUUGUUACGAAUUCAUAGACGUAAAAGAAAAAUCAUGAAUUAAAAGAUUCAUAUGGACGGAUGAAUCCAAACCUAUAAACUAUUAUGUCACAUAUCAUGCCAAAAUAUUUGUCGUCCAAAGUUUUAAUCUAAUUAGAAAAAAAAUACUUUGGAAUUAACACUGUUGGUUAUUUAUUAUUAGACUAAAAUUAUUCAAACUUGCUGUUUCGUAACAAUAUGUUUAGGAGACUAAUAAGUCGAGUUGGAAGAAUCUAAUAAGUUGAGUGAGACUGCGAUCGACAAGAAACCUAACGACAAGAAGUCCAACAAUAGACCUAACGUUCAAACAGAUUGAAUCAGGUUGAAGUCCGUAAAUGCUAUGUCUGAGUCCUUAAGUGCAAUAAAUACGUCAUUUAUAUCAACAGGUGCUUUUGGAAUAGUUGGUUAGCGUUUAAGAUCCAUAAACAUAACUCCUAAUAUAAAUAGAGAUGUAAUAUCAAAG